rnacentral:rRNA from 1 species
AUUGAACGCUAGCGGGAUGCUUUACACAUGCAAGUCGAUCGGCAGCGCGGACUUCGGUCUGGCGGCGAGUGGCGAACGGGUGAGUAAUGUAUCGGAACGUGCCCAGUAGCGGGGGAUAACUACGCGAAAGCGUAGCUAAUACCGCAUACGCCCUACGGGGGAAAGCAGGGGAUCGUAAGACCUUGCACUAUUGGAGCGGCCGAUAUCGGAUUAGCUAGUUGGUGAGGUAACGGCUCACCAAGGCGACGAUCCGUAGCUGGUUUGAGAGGACGACCAGCCACACUGGGACUGAGACACGGCCCAGACUCCUACGGGAGGCAGCAGUGGGGAAUUUUGGACAAUGGGGGCAACCCUGAUCCAGCCAUCCCGCGUGUGCGAUGAAGGCCUUCGGGUUGUAAAGCACUUUUGGCAGGAAAGAAACGUCGCGGGCUAAUACCCCGUGGAACUGACGGUACCUGCAGAAUAAGCACCGGCUAACUACGUG